UACGAAGGGGGCUAGCGUUGUUCGGAAUUACUGGGCGUAAAGCGCGCGCAGGCGGUCCUUUAAGUCAGGGGUGAAAGCCCAGAGCUCAACUCUGGAACUGCCUUUGAAACUAGAGGACUUGGGUACGGGAGAGGUGAGUGGAAUUCCGAGUGUAGAGGUGAAAUUCGUAGAUAUUCGGAAGAACACCAGUGGCGAAGGCGGCUCACUGGACCGGUUCUGACGCUGAAGCGCGAAAGCGUGGGGAGCAAACGGG
rnacentral:rRNA from 1 species